GAAAAUCUCAUCCCCAUUGGGUUUCUGAUGAUGAUGGACUUGGGUGUUGCCAUUGAGGCUCGCCUUAAAAGUGUUAGUGGUUCGGAAAUCGAAUCUGGCGUCAUAGGUUUCGUCAGUCAAGAUGGAAGGCUGCUCAUAACCUGUCUUCUGACAUCUUUUGCUCUGACCUCAAAUCAGGUAGGACUACCCGCUGAACUUAA
rnacentral:misc_RNA from 1 species